rnacentral:rRNA from 1 species
UGACCUGCGGAAGGAUCAUUACCGAGUGAGGGCCCUUUGGGUCCAACCUCCCACCCGUGUUUAUUUUACCUUGUUGCUUCGGCGGGCCCGCCUUUACUGGCCGCCGGGGGGCUCACGCCCCCGGGCCCGCGCCCGCCGAAGACACCCCCGAACUCUGUCUGAAGAUUGAAGUCUGAGUGAAAAUAUAAAUUAUUUAAAACUUUCAACAACGGAUCUCUUGGUUCCGGCAUCGAUGAAGAACGCAGCGAAAUGCGAUACGUAAUGUGAAUUGCAAAUUCAGUGAAUCAUCGAGUCUUUGAACGCACAUUGCGCCCCCUGGUAUUCCGGGGGGCAUGCCUGUCCGAGCGUCAUUGCUGCCCUCAAGCCCGGCUUGUGUGUUGGGCCCCGUCCUCCGAUUCCGGGGGACGGGCCCGAAAGGCAGCGGCGGCACCGCGUCCGGUCCUCGAGCGUAUGGGGCUUUGUCACCCGCUCUGUAGGCCCGGCCGGCGCUUGCCGAUCAACCCAAAUUUUUAUCCAGGUUGACCUCGGAUCAGGUAGGGAUACCCGCUGAACUUAAGCAUAUCAAUAA